GCGGACUGCAAAACUGUAGAAGGCUCCGCUGACUUUGGGAACGCGCCUCGAAAUUUUGGAGGCUUGCUUCCAAGGGAAACGAAAAUGUAAAAGAAGAUAAAAUAAUGUGGCUUUAUCAAGUCCCAGCUUCUAUUUCCCUUGUGUAGCUGGUACUGUGGCUGACUGGGCAGUACCCACGAUGGACCUAUGCAGAGGCAUAUAUGAGUGGAUUAGAUGUAUGCAAAGGAUGAGUCUUGCUUGCCUUCACUCUUGGAGUGAUGUCACACCUGCAGGAGGAAGAAGACUGCCCUAAAAAUGUGUUCUUGGACACGAGGUGAAGUUGCAGCACUGCCCUUGAAGCCAAGAAACUUGCUUCUAGUUUACACACCAGUGUAGAAAAACUACAAAAUGCAACCAUUAAAGGUAAUCUUGAGUUUGCAUUUAAGUAAGUGCUUAUGUAUGUGGUUA
rnacentral:lncRNA from 1 species